rnacentral:rRNA from 1 species
CCUCACUGCUAUCGGGGUGGGACUAAAACAUGCAAGUUGAGCGCCUCCAAGCUAUGGUGAAGGCGCAGCAAACGGCUCAGUAACACGUGGCUAACCUGCCCUUGGGACAAGGACAACUCCGGGAAACUGGGGCUAAUCCCUGAUAAGUGAGAACUCCUGGAAUGGAUUCUCGCUCAAAGGACGUUUAGACCAUGCUUCUAAGCGUCGCCCAAGGAGGGGGCCGCGACCGAUCAGGUUGUUGGUGAGGUAACGGCUCACCAAGCCUUUAACCGGUACGGGCCGUGAGAGCGGAAGCCCGGAGAUGGGCACUGAGACAAGGGCCCAGGCCCUACGGGGCGCAGCAGUCGCGAAAACUCCGCAAUACACGAAAGUGUGACGGGGCCAUCCCGAGUGCCAUCCGCUGAGGAUGGCUUUUCCCCAGUGUAUAAAGCUGGGGGAAUAAGGAGAGGGCAAGCCUGGUGUCAGCCGCCGCGGUAAUACCAGCUCUCCGAGUGGUGGGGAUGCUUAUUGGGCCUAAAGCAUUCGUAGCCUGCUUGGCAAGUCCUCCGUUAAAUUCAACGAUUCAAUCGUUGGGCUGCGGGGGAUACUGUCCGGCUAGGGGGCGGGAGAGGCCGACGGUAUCCUCGGGGUAGGGGUGAAAUCCUAUAAUCCCGGGAGGACCACCAGUGGCGAAGGCUGUCGGCUAGAACGCGCUCGACGGUGAGGGAUGAAAGCUGGGGGAGCGAACCGGAUUAGAUACCCGGGUAGUCCCAGCUGUAAACGAUGCAGGCUAGGUGUUGGCGCGGCUACGUGCCGCUCCAGUGCCGCAGGGAAGCCGUUAAGCCUGCCGCCUGGGAAGUACGGCCGCAAGGCUGAAACUUAAAGGAAUUGGCGGGGGAGCACCACAAGGUGUGAAGCUUGCGGUUU